AUCGCUUCUCGGCCUUUUGGCUAAGAUCAAGUGUAAUAUAUGCCGUUUAAUCAGGAUCACUCCAAUAUUGAUAAAUUUUCAUCAAGAAAAGAAUGAUCUGGAAUGGACUCCUU
rnacentral:snRNA from 1 species